GAUGAAGAACGCAGCGAAAUGCGAUAAGUAAUGUGAAUUGCAGAGUUCAGUGAAUCAUCGAGUCUUUGAACGCACAUUGCGCCCCCUGGUAUUCCGGGGGGCAUGCCUGUCCGAGCGUCAUUGCUGCCCUCAAGCACGGCUUGUGUGUUGGGCCUCCGUCCUCCUCCCGGGGGACGGGCCCGAAAGGCAGCGGCGGCACCGCGUCCGGUCCUCGAGCGUAUGGGGCUUCGUCACCCGCUCUUGUAGGCCCGGCCGGCGCUUGCCGACACAUCAAUCUUUUUUCCAGGUUGACCUCGGAUCAGGUAGGGAUACCCGCUGAACUUAAGCAUAUCAAUAAGCGGAGGA
rnacentral:misc_RNA from 1 species